rnacentral:rRNA from 1 species
AACCCAUAUCUAGCCCUACCUCCUUUCAACAUGCUUAAUACAACCUCAAACCAAAACAUUUAUCUAACACUUUAGUAUUGGCGAAAGAAAAUAUAAUCAGGCGCAACAGAUAAAGUACCGCAAGGGAAAAAAUGAAAUAAAAAUGAAAACAUAAGUAAAACACAGCAAAGACCAACCCUUCUACCUUUCGCAUCAUGGUUUAGCAAACCACAACUGGCAAAAAGAAUUUAAGUCACACAACCCGAAACUAGGUGAGCUACUAACUAGCAGCUAAAUUUGAGCUAACCCCCCUCUGUGGCAAAAGAGCGGGAAGACUACUUAGUAGAAGUGAAAAGCCUACCGAACCUAGUGAUAGCUGGCUGCUUGGAAAAUGAAUCUUAGUUCCACUGUAAAUUCUCCUAACUACCACAACGAAGGAUAAGGAAGAAUUUUCAAGCUAUUUAAUAGAGGUACAGCUCUAUUAAUGCAGGACUCAACCUCCACUUAAGGGUAAUCCAUCCCAUUCCUCGGACUGUGGGCCUUAAAGCAGCCACCACAAAAAAGCGUCAAAGCUUAACUCCAAAAAAUACCAACAACAAAUCGAACCCUACAUCAUAACCAAGCCAUCCUACAACCCUAGAAAAGAUUAUGCUAAAAUGAGUAAUAAGAAAACGACUUUCUCCUUUGCGUCAGCCUACAUCCUACAUGACACCCUAUAGAUUAUUAACAGCCGCUUCCUACACCACCCCACAAAAAACAAAAAGAAGACCUCACCUGUUAACCCAACACAGGAACGCAACAGGAAAGGCUAAACCUUGCAAAAGGAACUCGGCAAACAAAGAUUCCGACUGUUUACCAAAAACACAGCCCCUAGCCCCCUCAGUAUUAGGGGUGAUGCCUGCCCAAUGAUUUCCAAUUGAAUGGCCGCGGUAUAUACAACCGUGCGAAGGUAGCGUAAUCACUUGUUCUCCAAAUAAGGACCAGUAUGAACGGCUAAACGAGAAUCUAACUGUCUCCUGCAAGCAACCAAUGAAAUUGAUCUCCCUGUGCAAAAGCAGGAAUGACCCCACCAGACGAGAAGACCCUGUGAAACUUUAACCGACUAAGUCACACACUAGGAACAACACAACCCACAACCACCUUAAACCCAUGACUUAGCGCUUUUGGUUGGGGUGACCCUAAAACAAAAAAAAACUUUUAAGACAAUCAUAACAAAAUUAGACUAUUAACUAAGACCCACACCUCAAAGUACUUAACUGUAAUUAGAUCCGACAAUGUCGAUCCACGAACUAAGCUACUCCAGGGAUAACAGCGCAAUCCCCUUCAAGAGCCCCUAUCGACAAGGGGGUUUACGACCUCGAUGUUGGAUCAGGACACCCCAUUGGUGUAACCGCUAUUAAUGGUUCGUUUGUUCAACGAUUAAAGUCCUACGUGAUCUGAGUUCAGACCGGAGUAAUCCAGGUCGGUUUCUAUCUAUGACUAUGUCUCUUCCUAGUACGAAAGGACCGGGGAAACAAGGCCCAUGCCACCAAAGUACGCCUUACCUAUAAUUUAAUGCACGUAACUAAAUUAAUAAUUAGGAUAAACACUACUUCUCAAAACAAGAGAACGCUAGGUUG